rnacentral:rRNA from 1 species
AAGUCGUAACAAGGUUUCUACCAGAGUGCCACCAUCUGAAGCCUUGGACUCCAGUCUAUUGUUAUAGGCAACACCUUUACUAUGCUUAGAUACCUCGAGUGGUAAUAAGCAGCUGCUAUUGCAGUCCGCAGAUCAGACAAAGGUGGUCCUAGAGGGGCAGCUAGCUAAUCAGCUGUCACCAUUGGAUUUAGAUAUGACCGGCCUUCUCCUGUAAAGAGUUAGAGUUAGUGUUCCGUAGGUGAACCUGCGGAAGGAUCAUUAUAGAGACUGUGCUCAUUUUAGGGUACAUCUCCCACCCUUUGUUUACAAUACCUCUGUUGCUUUGGUGGGCCUGUCCAAUGACUACUGGCUUUAUCGCUGGUCCGUGCUCGCCAGAGGACCUCAAACAUUCUUAAUUUUGUCGUCCGAGUACUAUAUAAUAGUUAAAACUUUCAACAACGGAUCUCUUGGUUCUGGCAUCGAUGAAGAACGCAGCGAAAUGCGAUAAGUAAUGUGAAUUGCAGAAUUCAGUGAAUCAUCGAAUCUUUGAACGCACAUUGCACCCUCUGGUAUUCCGGGGGGUAUGCCUGUUCGAGCGUCAUUGCAACCCUCAAGCACUGCUUGGUAUUGGAUGCUACCACUGUGGUGCGUCUUAAAGGUAUUAGCAGUAGCAUUUGGCUUCUAGCAUAGUAAUUUCUUGCUUUGGAGUCUAGAUGUCUAGCUGCCAGAACCCCUAAAUCAUUAAGGUUGACCUCGGAUCAGGUAGGGAUACCCGCUGAACUUAA